CAUGGUCUCUGAAUUACAGUGCAACUUGGGCAUUUUUCCCACAUAAAAGUCAUUGCCAGAAGUAAAAAAUGAUAUUUGACAAAAAAAAGGAUGGAGAGAUUACCGGCGGAGAGCCAAUUCCCAGAAGGAUCCGAGGGUAGUCCAAGUCCCAGUAGACUGGCUACCGAGGGCGUAGGUACAAGCCAUCAGAAUCAGUCAUAUCAGCAACCACAGCUAUUCCCGUGCCAACAGUGUCAUAAUGUUUACCAUUACCAAAGAAAUCUUUUACGGCAUAUUAGGCUUGAAUGUGGAAAGCCAGCACAAAUAGAAUGUCCAUAUUGCAAAUACAGGUCAAAACAUAGAGCUGACAUGAUGAGACAUGUUAGAAUAAGGCAUCGUGUGCCAGUUACACGUUUCAAGGGGAAAGGAGUGCCUUAACUGGAAUUUUUGUUACAUGGUACUGGUCACGAUUAUACAUUGAUACAAGAGCCACCACUAUUCUUAUGUUCCCAGUGUCAUAAAUGCUAUCAAUACAGAAGAAGUCUUGUUCGUCAUGUCAGACUUGAAUGUGGUAAACCUGCACAGAUAGCUUGUCCGCUAUGCAAGUACAGGUGCAAACAUAAAGCAGAUAUGAUAAAGCAUAUUCGAAACAAACAUCAAGUGUCCACACUACAGUCUUCCUCACAACUGGAUAAUCUAAUGAAUUUGUAAUUCAGUCAUGGAAUAGUUCAAAGUGAAAUAACAGAAGGAAGAGAAUAAUAAAAACAAAGUGCAUGAUCCUUCAGAUUCAGUCAUCUCAGCAACCACAGCUAUUUGCAUGCCACCAAUGUCAUAUUGUGUACCAUUAACAGAGGAACCAUACACAGCAUAUUAGGCUUGAAUGGGGAAUGCCAGCACAAAUAGAAUGCCCAUGUUUAAAACACUGGCCAAGGCAUAGAUCUGACCUGAUGAGAUAUGUCAGAACGAAGUACUGUGUGUCAGUUGCAUGUUUAAAAGUGUAAGGAGUGCCUUAAUUGGAAUUUUUGUUACAUGACUGAUUGUUGGUUUUUGGCAUGUGGUUAUUUGUAAAGUAUUACUGCCUGAG